AACGAACGCUGGCGGCGGGCCUCAUACAUGCAAGUCGAGCGCGAAAGUCCGCAAGGAUGAGUAAAGCGGCGCACGGGUGCCUAACACGUGGGUAAUCUACCUUUUGGAUGGGAAUAACUUGUCGAAAGACGGGCUAAUACCGAAUAAGCUCUGCUAAACGUAAAGUUUGGCAGAGGAAAGAUGGGGCAACCUAUCACCGAUUGAUGAGCCUGCGUCCCAUUAGCUAGUUGGUAAGGUAACGGCUUACCAAGGCUACGAUGGGUAGCUGGUCUGAGAGGAUGAUCAGCCACACUGGAACUGAAACACGGUCCAGGCUCCUACGGGAGGCAGCAGUAGGGAAUAUUGCGCAAUGGGCGAAAGCCUGACGCAGCCACGCCGCGUGAGUGAAGAAGG
rnacentral:rRNA from 1 species